AUACCUUUCUCGGCCUUUUGGCUAAGAUCAAGUGUAGUAUCUGUUCUUAUCAGUUUAAUAUCUGAUACGUGGACUAUUGGUUCACAUGAUAUUAAAUUAAUUUUUUUAGGGGGGAGGGCUCGACAAAUAGCUUGCUAUUAGGGUCCUUGAGCAUCGCUUAGGCGUUGCACUAUAGCUUAGGCUUGGCGCACCCCAU